CGGACGGGUGAGUAACGCGUGGAUAACCUGCCGGUAUACAGGGGGAUAACACUUAGAAUAGGUGCUAAUACCGCAUAAGCGCACGGUUCCGCAUGGAACAGUGUGAAAAACUCCGGUGGUAUACGAUGGAUCCGCGUCUGAUUAGCCAGUUGGCGGGGUAACGGCCCACCAAAGCGACGAUCAGUAGCCGGCCUGAGAGGGUGAACGGCCACAUUGGGACUGAGACACGGCCCAA
rnacentral:rRNA from 1 species